CGUCUCACUGGGCGCCGCCGCUCGUCGCCGCGCGCUCUCGUGUGCGCCACCUUCGUCUCCAUCGGCGGCGUGCGUCGCGUCGGCUUCCUGGUGAUCGUCGGCUCAGUCGCGCUCGGCUGACUCAGUCGUCGCCUCGGCAGCUGGGAGAGCGUCGUGUAUAGGGAGUGGCCCAAGAGUGGGCCGAGUCGCCCGUCCAGCCGAGCCGGAUUUUGAAGAACGAGAGAGGUCUGUGCGGUCUGGCGGGUAUAGGACGUACAAGCUGCGGCCUUCGGCAUGGAUAAGGACACGCUGACGAAGCAGAUUGAGAACAUGAAGCACCAGGCCUCGAUGGAGCGAUGGCCACUGAGCAAAAGUAUUGCCGCACUGAAGGAGUUUAUUGAAGAAAAUGAGAAGACCGACCCACUUAUCUACGCAGUCGAUAAGAAGAACAACCCGUGGGCAGAAAAAGGAAAAUGUCUCGUCAUGUAGCCCCGAAGGCACUGGCUGCUGUGUGAUUACGUGACCAGUUGACCAUCGCUACUCAAUAACAGGAAAUAACCAAAGAUCCCUGAUCAUCGCUCGGAGCUAGGGGCCUGUCAGGGGCAACGAUGCCGUGCAUCCGAUCUCAGCUUUGGAACCGGGACUGAGCUGGUGAACAGGGGUGCUUGAAGAUGAGCUUGAAUCAGGGUAUUUGACUUUGUUGACGGCGAUUGAUUGAGGGCAUCUAUCGGGAGACAGCUGGGAGUUGUCAGUGGUUUUAACUUGAUUAAACUGCAAGUGAUGAUCCACUUGUGAAUGUUUGAUUUCAUGAAACAUGUAGGCACUUUAUCAUUGAUGGUCGUUGAGGAUGAUAGGAGGUGUUUAGUUAAAAUGUGUUUUUCCCAUGUUGCCAGUAGGCGUGCGCCGACAAAGGUGGCUUCAUAUUUUUGGAGCUCGGUACCUUGCUUUCAAAUUUGUUAGCACAUUAUAUAUCGGCUACUGAGUAGGCAAACCUACUAAAACAUCAGUCAUCACACACAUACUACUGUGAGAUUUAACACCGUCCAUAUUAAGUUCACAGAUAUGUCCUUAUUGUUUGUAGUUAUUUUCGUGCGUUAUUUUGUCAUGCUUUUGUGUGCAAUACCUACCUCACAUGCGACUCUAUAAACACAUGUUAUCUGUCCCGUAUGUGCAUAUUCACUCAAAAUCUGUUUUGCGUUAGCGAGGUGUGUACAUUGUCCAAAAAAUGGCUUGACCUCAAUUUCGAAUACAUUAUAACAUUUGUGUAA